CGCGUAGGCGGUUUGUUAAGUCAGCUGUGAAAGCCCCGGGCUCAACCUGGGAACUGCAGUUGAUACUGGCCGACUAGAGUACGAGAGAGGGAGGUAGAAUUCCACGUGUAGCGGUGAAAUGCGUAGAUAUGUGGAGGAAUACCAGUGGCGAAGGCGGCCUCCUGGCUCGAUACUGACGCUGAGGUGCGAAAGCGUGGGGAGCAAACA
rnacentral:rRNA from 1 species